rnacentral:lncRNA from 1 species
UUACUUUGGUAAGUAGGCAGGAGUAUGUUGGUCUGCGCUACUUUGGUAAGUAGGCAGGAGUAUGUUGGUCUGCGCUACUUUGGUAAGUAGGCAGGAGUAUGUUGGUCUGCGCUACUUUGGUAAGUGGGCAGGGAGAUAUUGGUAUUGAAUUACUUUGGUAAGUAGGUUGAAGAAUUGGUACUACGCUACUUUGGUAAGUAGGUAGAAUAAUCUGACGACAUUCUACUUUGGUAAGUAGACAAGUGAAACGGGUAUUGCGCUACUUUGGUAAGUAGGUCAGAAAAGGAGAGGUUGUGACACUUUGAUAAGUGAGAUGAUAAUUCUUUUACUGAAGAAUAAUAUUGUUAUAUUAUGUUUAAUAGUGUGAUUAACUGUAUCGAACAUUGUAAAUAUAUUAUAAAGGACUGUGAACGAUUUGUAUGUUUGUGACAGUUAGCUCACCCUGUUGUUUGUGUUUGUGUUUGUGCAUGUGAAUGCGAUGAUCGUAUAACGCGUGAUGUUAUACGUGAGUAG